rnacentral:lncRNA from 1 species
AAAAAAUACCCGAAAUAGAAUUAAGACAAAAGCCAGAGGGAAAAGCAUAAACCCAGAUUACCUUUCUGAGUCCAAUCAUCAAACAGGCUAAACUCCAAUUCUGAGCAUCCAAAAGCAAUCCUGAAACAUUCUCCAUUGGACCAUUGAGCAUCACUUUUGAAACCCUAAUCCGUGGCAUAAAUAGAAGAGAGUGAAUCAAUCAGAAGAAGGAGUUAGCGGCGAAAAAAAA